AGAGCCGAUGAAGGACGUGGGAGGCUGCGAUAUGCCUCGGGGAGCUGUCAACCGAGCGUGGAUCCGAGGAUUUCCGAAUGGGGAAACCCAGCACGAGUGAUGUCGUGCUACCCGCAUCUGAAUAUAUAGGGUGCGGGAGGGAACGCGGGGAAGUGAAACAUCUCAGUACCCGUAGGAGGAGAAAACAAUUGUGAUUCCGCAAGUAGUGGCGAGCGAACGCGGAACAGGCUAAACCGCACGCAUGGGUAACCGGGUAGGGGUUGUGUGUGCGGGGUUGUGGGAGGAUAUGUCUCAGCGCUACCCGGCUGAGAGGCAGUCAGAAAGUGUCGUGGUUAGCGGAAGUGGCCUGGGAUGGUCUGCCGUAGACGGUGAGAGCCCGGUACGCGAAAACCCGGCACCUGCCUAGUAUCAAUUCCCGAGUAGCAGC
rnacentral:rRNA from 1 species